UGCCUACGGGGCGCAGCAGUGAGGAAUAUUGGUCAAUGGUCGGGAGACUGAACCAGCCAAGCCGCGUGAGGGAUGAAGGUACAGAGUAUCGUAAACCUCUUUUGUCAGGGAACAAAGGCGGGGACGUGUCCUCGGAUGAGUGUACCUGAAGAAAAAGCAUCGGCUAACUCCGUGCCAGCAGCCGCGGUAAUACAGAGGAUGCGAGCGUUAUCCGGAUUUAUUGGGUUUAAAGGGUGCGUAGGCGGAUUUUUAAGUCAGCGGUAAAAUG
rnacentral:rRNA from 1 species